rnacentral:misc_RNA from 1 species
GAAAUGCGAUACUUGGUGUGAAUUGCAGAAUCCCGUGAACCAUCGAAUCUUUGAACGCACAUUGCGCCCUUUGGUAUUCCUUAGGGCAUGCCUGUUCGAGCGUCAUUUACAAAUUCAAGCUCAGCUUGGUGAUGGGUGUCUGUUCCGCCUUUGCGCGUGGACUCGCCUCAAAUGCAGUUGGCAGCUUGUUCCUCGGCUCUAAACGCAGCAGAUUUGCGUCGAGCGUCGAGCGGACGGGCUCUCCAGUAAGCAAACCCCACAAAUUGACCUCAGGUCAGGUAGGACUACCCGCUGAACUUAA